UGCGCUUUUGUGUGUGUUGUCUCAUGCUGUCAGGGGAACUCGUUUGGCGCAAAGAUUCCGUACAAGUGAAAGAUGAUUCACACCAGGAAGACAAAAAAAAGAAUUGAACCGCACCAGGAAAUGGGACGGAGUGAGAAUUCAUUGGCUAGAGUUUGAGAGUGAAGCAAACUCUCUACAUCAGCACUAUCAGCUCUCAUGACCCAAGGGCACGAGGCACCUGCCACUAGGGGGCCCCCAAACUUACACAACAUUCCAUUUGUUUUGUUUUUUUUGUUCGAUUUCUUUCCCAUGACUUGGCAACUUCAGGCUGUGGAUUGUUGUUAUUUCAAGUCAUAGUACCACUGGGAAAUUGAAGCCCCUGUGGGGAGAGAGAGAAAAUGGAACUGUGGUUGCUUUGGGCCCCUAACAACAAAAAAGACAAACCGAGUCACACUAGGUGAAAUAACUUUUGGGCGAAGAAUAAAGAAAAGAAAUAACACUUUCGAGUUGCUCCAUGUACAGCACUUUGUAUGCAGGAUGGCUGUUUGCAAGUGCUCUGUAAAUACAGGUGAGUUGAGUUGAAUUACAUUUUUAAAAAUUCCAG